CGCAAGCCUGACGGAGCAAGACCGCGUGAGGGAGGAAGGCUCUUGGGUUGUAAACCUCUUUUAUCAGGGAAGAAGAUCUGACGGCACCUGAUGAAUCAGCAUCGGCUAACUCCGUGCCAGCAGCCGCGGUAAUACGGAGGAUGCAAGCGUUAUCCGGAUUUAUUGGGCGUAAAGCGUCCGCAGGUGGUUGUUCAAGUCUGCUGUUAAAGCGCGAGGCUUAACCUCGUACAGGCAGUGGAAACUGAGCGACUAGAGUAUGGUAGGGGUAGCGGGAAUUCCCAGUGUAGCGGUGAAAUGCGUAGAUAUUGGGAAGAACACCAGCGGCGAAAGCGCGCUACUGGGCCAUUACUGACACUCAUGGACGAAAGCU
rnacentral:rRNA from 1 species